rfam:Xiphophorus maculatus strain JP 163 A Contig0.274, whole genome shotgun sequence.
CCAAAGGCUCUUUUAAGAGCCCUCAGAAACCCUGAAGGACUAUUG